UCCAGAAUUUGUAGGAACGUGAGAUGUUAAACAUCGGUAAUAUUUAGUUCGGAGGUGAGUUCCUGGUAGAGUUUAAUAAGUACAUUUGUUCGAGGAGUGAAAAAUAUUUUUAGAGCUCUUUCAUUUCACCUGAGAAAGAAAGGAAGAGAAUGGAAUUCGUUGUUGUGGUUUUGAUUGUGGAAAUGAACAUUAUAAAACUUCUUCCAAUUGGUGGAUCGGCAGAAUCAUUAGGGAAGCGGACAAACCUUUUUGUUGUAUUUAGAUUAUUUUCUAUUACGUUCUCCUCGGUUUUCUUGCGAAUGGAUUAAGAGUCAGACAUUUGUGAUAAAUCGACCAGAUGCGAAGCAUUGGUGAGAGUUCGAGUCCCCAUUUACAUUUACAAGAGAUUUAACAUCAUCAUCAGAAUGACCAAGAAAUUUAAUUUCGCACUUAAAGAGUUAAGAAAAUACUUCGUGUGAGAGGACUCGACCAAGUCAGUGAAGGAAGAGAGCAUGAAGAAGGAAUUAUCUGAAAAUGUUACAUUGGUACACGCUCACAUAGUGAAGAGUUACCCCGUUUUUGCAAUACUCAAUUAAGAGAUUUAUCCUGUCUUUUGCCCUUCUCUAUUAAAAUUUAAAAAAAGAUACCCAGAAGACAGUAAAACAUCAGGUUAGAUAGAUAUGUUCUAACUUGAAAUUCCCACGACACCGACUUUGCUUUUUUUAUCCAUUCCGGGUCGGUGAUGCAUGAAUUGAUCUUAAUAUCAGGAUAGUCGAUAUUUCGAUAUCUACACCACUAAGUUUUAGUGAUUUUAGAAGAGUUUGGACCACUGGAGAAGCAAUUUAGCUCCC